GACAGCUCAGUUGGUAGAGCAUGAGACUCUUAAUCUCAGGGUUAUGGGUUUGAGUCCCAUGCUGGUCA